UCGAUGCGUAAACAGUAACUUGAUGAUGUGGCAGCCACGUAUUGGUUGCGGUUUCUACAAUUUUUAUUUUCCAAAGCCCAAGUCUUGACCAAUUUUAAUUUGGAUGGGUGGAAUUUGUUUUAAGGAGGGAAGAAUAAGUCUUGAGCCUUUUUUUUUCAAGUUUCAAAUUUCAAGACUUGACUUUUGUAGUACUUUUCCUUAAAA
rnacentral:lncRNA from 1 species